UCAAGGAGAGUACUUGAUAGCAAUGCAUUGCAGCUUGGUAACAAAAAGAAAAAAAUGUUGGGGGAGAGGAGGAUGGAGAGUUUGUGUGCAGUAAUGCGAGUGCGCGAAUGCUGCCAAAGUGAAGCACAGAGGAAUGCUUCUCGCGCACGUGUCAGCUACAAGCCCGAGCACAGUCAAUAGCGCGCGGCGGCACCACUGGCACUGCGGCACCAAGUGUGAACAUCGCUCUCACAGAUUAUUCCUGUCCUUGCAAUGGAAAAUCGUUUGCCACUGCUGCAUUCAACAAGAACUGACCCUACAGAGCGCCAGCUGGCAGAUGUUGAUUGGCACGCAGAGGAAAGUACACGCAGAGUAAGUCAGUCAUGGCCGUGACGAUAGUCCGAAGCAUCUGCGCGCGCCGACCCGCGCCUGCUUCGUCACGGUAGGCACGCGCUGCCAUCCCGUCCCCGUCGCCUCGUUCGCGUCGGGAAACGGACGAGUCGCCGCUCGUCUUGCGGCGGCUCCAGCGGCGGAGACGGAGGCUUGUGCGGCGUGGCCGGCACAAGCCUCGUCCAGAAGACGUCCAGGUUCAUCGGAGUGGGCGCCUGGCGGACGCCGCUCAGCGCCGGCACGUCACUCGGGGCGGAGGCCACCGCGUUGGGCGUGCGCUCCCCCGAGAGGCCCUCGACGACGGGCGGCUCGACGACGACCGUCGAUGAAUGCUCCCGGGAGUAGACGUCCAGGUUUGGGUGCAUGGGCGUCGGCGGUUCCAACUUCUUGCCGCCCAGGCCCGACAGUUCGGGCAGGAAGAAGUCGUCGUCGACGAUGUGGGCGUCGGCGGUUUCAGCGGUCGCCGGGGGGUUUGCGGCGGCGGCGACGACGAGGUCGUCGGCGGGAGCCUGACCGAUGGUCCAGUCCGCCGGUGGGGACGCCGCGGCGUCCGACUUGGCGUCCUCGCUCAUGCCGUACUUGUGCGACGCCUUGGUCUUGGCCGAGGAACGACGGGUGCUCAUCUGCGACUUCGGAACGACUAUGCCCGGUUGCGAGCGCUGUUCUGUCGAUGACAACCCGCUGUUUACGAAAGCAUCGGCCGCUGACGCAAAAUGCCUGCAGAGCCGACGACGUUAAGAGGCAUUAUAUGAAAGGGCAUUGGCGAGAACACGCAGCCAGGAGCCGGUGCCGAUCGAAAAGUCGGCAAGGAAGCCCUACCUGGACGUGUCGGAACGCGGGGUCAGGUCCCGGCAUCGGCAGAACCGGAGCAUGCAGCACGCAGGGAUAAGUCCGCAGGGACUGCGUAACACUACGCAGUGAGAACGGGUGCAUGCUGAGGGGAAGUCCCGGAAGUGGCAGCUGACCGUCUGACCAACCUGGACCAGGGUGGCGUUGGACUGCUGGUGGACGCUGGUGCUCAGCAUGACGACAUUCGCGUUCGCUGCUGCAAGUAAACCAGGUUCUGCGCCGCGCAAGCAGCGGUCAACAGGAGUGUCCAUGGAAACUUUACCAGACUGUGCAUCUUAGCCGUCCGUGCUGGCAAAGCAGACCCGCCUGAGACGAGCGUGACCGGUGGGACUGUCCGUUACGAAUGGAGGGACGAAGCAAAGCUGGUGAGCGAGUUCGCGGUACUGUCGAGACCUCCGGUGUCGGUGUGGACACAGCCGCCUUUUCCAUUCAAGCUCGCAACACAAUCGGUGAGUCUGGACCCCGCAGGACCGCUGUUCGAGUCGCGCGGCGUCCAUCUGACAAAAGACGACGCCGACUUCGUGGAUGUGCUGCACACGAGCAUCGGCCGCGGAUGGACGAACGUGGUCCAGGGCCGGCUGGGAGUGAG